GGAAUAUUGGACAAUGGGCGAAAGCCUGAUCCAGCCAUGCCGCGUGUGUGAAGAAGGUCUUCGGAUUGUAAAGCACUUUAAGUUGGGAGGAAGGGUUGUAACCUAAUACGUUGCAAUUUUGACGUUACCGACAGAAUAAGCACCGGCUAACUCUGUGCCAGCAGCCGCGGUAAUACGGAGGGUGCGAGCGUUAAUCGGAAUUACUGGGCGUAAAGCGCGCGUAGGCGGUUUUUUAAGUCGGAUGUGAAAUCCCCGGGCUUAACCUGGGAACUGCAUCCGAUACUGGGAGACUUGAGUACGAGAGAGGGAGGUAGAAUUCCACGUGUAGCGGUGAAAUGCGUAGAUAUGUGGAGGAAUACCGGUGGCGAAGGCGGCCUCCUGGUUCGAUACUGACGCUGAGGUGCGAAAGCGUGGGGAGCA
rnacentral:rRNA from 1 species